GACGACACCUUAGCGAUACACGUGGGAGGGUGUUUUGGUUUUCGUGGAGUGUGUGUGUCAGUACACGAUAGCAGCGGCACGUUGUGGGUGUUGCUCCCGGCACUCCGCUCCUUCGCCCCCCAAAAGGAAUAAAAGAGAGAGAAGCGCGCCGCUUGUGCGUGCGCGCGUGUGUGUCUGUGCCUGUGUGCUGUGACGCCGACAUCGACAAUCAACGACCGUAUCUGCUUCUUCCUUUCGUUUCUAGUUUUCCACUUUUUGUUUCGUCUUCCGGUGCGUGCGCGCUUCUGCGCGUUGUGAGCGGUCUCUCUCCCCUCUCCCUAUCCGUGGCGGUUGGUGUGCGUCUACGGCAGUGGAAGGCGCAAGCCAAGCAGACGUGGAGGAAAAGAGGCGUCGUUGUGUAAUGCUAGGCAAUAGCCAGCACACUCUUGCCAGCACAACUUGUGGCCUGCUCGGCCUCCCUCUUAGCUAUCAAGGCAGCAGCAGCAGCAACAAUACGAGAGGCCCCGCGAGCGGCGAGCGUCAAGGAAUGAACCCAGUCACUGGAGGCAUUCCCGGAGUUGCGAAUGGCGCGCAGAUGAUGUCGCCGACGUUUCCGUCGCCCCAUAGCCUAUACAGCCCGCAGCACCACAUGGAUGUGUACCGCACGAACGGCAGCCUUUCUUUGGCGGCAGACCCGUUCCCCGCGACGCCGUACACCCCCAUCAGUAGUCUCUUCAUGUCUCCCUCCGUGCGCAACUCACUGACCACCCCGCACUCGGUGCGGCCGCGUCGCCCGGUCACACACGUCACGUCAUCGAAGUUUUCCAUGUACACCACCAUCUACAACCUGGAGCCGGAGCCGAAGCCAAGCGUGAUGAUGCCCAAGGUGCGCAUGCAGAUAUACCAGACGAGUGCGCGGUACACCGGCAAGGACAUUCUUCUACGACGGCUUGUGAACGUUCCAGUGAAGGAGGAGGAGUGUGCGGCGGUGAAAGAGGCACUGCGGCAGUAUCGGCACCCCAACCUGGUGCCACUGACGAACCUCUUCGCCACGGAGGAGUUCGUGAUGGGCAGCACUGACGUGAUCAUGGAGUACCGCUACAUGUCCGGGGCAAAGAGUUUGCAGGAGGCCUUUUUUACAGAGGGACGCCGCGCGACGGAGGGACUGCUGUGGUCCUUCACAUGUCAGCUCGUCGGCCUUCUCCGCUCCUUCCACGAGACCCUUAUUCCGUUGCACGGCUUGCACUGGUCAAAGAUCAUCUACGUCGAGACGACCGGGCGAUUCUACUUCACCGGCUUGGGACUGACAGACCUGCUAGAACCGCGCGGCACAACGGUGCAGCAGCACAUCCUCAUGAAGCAAGACAUUCAAGCCCUCGGCUUUAUCCUCUUCCAGCUCGCCUCUCGGAACCUCAAUGUCAAGCUGGAGACCUUCACGAACAAGCAGCCGCUGCCCGGCUUCUCACAGAGCUUCUGGGAGCUCAUCAAGACAUGUCUGGAGGGUCACGCCGACUCGGCCCAGCUGUGCCACGCUCUCGGUGAGCGGAUGUCGAUGGAGGUGGGCCACCAGGAGGGACACACGGACUUUCUAAUGUCCCAGUGUCAAAAGGAGAUGCACAACGGCCGUGUGAUGCGCCUGCUCAUCAAGCUGAGCUUCGCUCUAGAGUCGCCGGCGGAAGUGCACGAGUACACGUCGGAGAAUCAGCGCUAUGUUCUGCGCCUCUUCAACCAGUUCCUGUUCAACCAGGUGGAUGAGCAGAACCGAGUGAACGUGGACUGGGGCCACGUGUACCACUGCCUGAACAAGCUGGACAUCGGCUCUGACGAGACGAUCCAGCUGAUCGGCACGGACACCAGCAACACUGUGCUCGUAGUGAGCUACGCUGACUUGCGUGCCAUGCUCGACAGCGUUUUCGAUCGUGUGCAGCAGGUGUCGCAGAUGACGACGGACGUCGACCCUCAGCGGUACACCAUGACACCUGGUAGCAUAUAGACGCCGCAAGCAAGAGGGUCGCGACGUGGGUACGUCGGCUUGCUCUUGGUGCGCAUGCGCGUGUGGCUCUCGAUUGAGUGUGCCUGUGUGGAAUGGAAUGCGAUGCUCAUCUUCGUUCUUUUUUUUUCGUCCUCUUCCCCGUUGCGUUUUGCCUUUCUUGGUAUUUGCCGCCCCUGGUGCAGUCUGCGUGUGCGCACAAAGGGAGGCGAGGGAGGAGAAGGAAAAGGAUAAGCAUGCACAAGUUCUGCGGGUUGGGUGCCGGUGGGCCUGUGUGCGUGUGUUCGUAUGUUGUUCUGUAUUUGCUCUUUGCCUUUGGUUUCUUUUUGUCCAUCUCUUGGAGUGUGUGUGUGUGUGUAGGUGUGUGUGCCGAUGCGCGGGGCACGUGUUCUCCGUUGCUUCAUUCAUCAAACGUUGGAGCUCUAUUACUACAUGGGACUGCGUGUCUGUGUGCCGGUGUUUGGGGAGUGCUUGCACACGGAAAAUCGAGGGCGGCUGCUGAGUGAGAAAGAGAGAUAGAGAGAUAUUGGAAUUCACUGUCUGGUCCGUCAAGCAUGAUUUGCACGAUGCACCGGCACAGAGUGCAAUCGAACCUUCCUGACGCCUAUGACGGAGGCGUGAAAGGCAAAGGCGUGCAUCCUCUCAGUGCGAACACGUGUGUGUGUACGUCUGAUGUCGGCCUUGAUGCUAAUGACGUAGCACCUUGUGGGUUCGUCUAUGCGUGCGCGGUGUGUUUUUCUCCUCCAGGUUCACCCACCCACCCACACACACUCUCUCGCCCUCUUUCUACGUUCAUGUUUGCGUACGCGUGUGUGCGUGUUUGUGUGUGCGCGUCGGCCGCCGUGGUGGACCACAAGCGUUGGGGCCAGUGCUCUUUGUUCUAUUUUUAUUUUUCUUGCUCGCGUCCUCUCUGUUGCUCUUGUUCUUUUGUGUGGGCUCGUGGCGACACGCGUUCUGUAUACGUGCGUGUGGGAUCGUGCGUGCCGGGUGGUGUCUGUGCGUUGUUAUUGGGACCGUUUUUUUUCUUUUUUUUUGUCUGUCAUGAUGUGUAUGUGCAUGUGCGCGUGUGCGUGUGUGUGUGUGUCGUCUGCCUUUUCACUGUUAUUUUACUGUUUUUUUUUUCCUUUGAGCUCUCUCAUGUUUGCCCUCCUCUCGCUCUCCCCGCCUCUCAUCCUCGCCCCUUCGGAUGUUUUGUUUUGUGUUGUUGUUCGGCCCUCCUCCCUCUUUCUCGCCUUCCCACCCUCGUGUCGCUUCAGUGCUGCCCCCCUCCCCCUCUGUCUCUCCCGUAAUCGCUCUUGUGGUAUUGAUCGCUGGUCUGCGCACGCUUCGCAGCUUUACCUGUUCCGUCCAUCUUGACGCUGGUCGAGAUUGCAGUAGAGGUGAAGCGGUGGCAAAAUGUCUAUGCUUGUGUGCGUGUGCGCGCGUGUAGGGCAAGCCGGCAAACUGCUUCGAGCGCAGACACAUGAAGAGCGUGAGAGGGAGAGCGAGGGAGCUAGGGAAGAGUUGACCAUAGAAUGAAGGGAUGAGAAGAGAGCGAGAAACGGCGAGAGACAGAGGAAGACUUUAAAGACGCCAACAAGCAAACGAAGAGACAAAACCAAGAAAACGCGACAGCAGCUAGCAACACAAAAGAUGAAACUACCGGGAGGGGCAUGCAGUCGCUGUUUUUCGGCGUCUUCCGGGGCCUGCCACCGCUGUCGCCGUCGUAGUGGCACCUCACGCCUCUUCAGUCUUGCUCUUGUCGCCUCAAUCUGUUCCUGGUCGCGCCGUCUCUGAGAUGUGCAAAGCCCGACUGAGCGAGGCUUCUCCCUUUCC
rnacentral:misc_RNA from 1 species